rnacentral:rRNA from 1 species
AACGAACGCUGGCGGCAUGCCUAACACAUGCAAGUCGAACGAGACCUUCGGGCCUAGUGGCGCACGGGUGCGUAACGGGUGGGAACCUGCCUUUAGGUUCGGAAUAACUCCCCGAAAGGGGUGCUAAUACCGGAUAAUGUCUUCGGACCAAAGAUUUAUCGACUUUGGAUGGGCUUGCGUUGGCUUAGCUAGUUGGUAGGGUAAAAGCCUACCACGGCGACGAUCCAUAGCUGGUUUGAGAGGAUGGUCAGCCACACUGGGACUGAGACACGGCCCAGACUCCUACGGGAGGCAGCAGUGGGGAAUAUUGGAAAGUGGGCGAUAGGCUGAACCAGCUAUGCCGCGUGAGUGAUGAAGGCCUUAGGGUUGUAAAGCUCUUUUACCCGGGAUGAUAAUGACAGUACCGGGAGAAUAAGCACCGGCUAACUCCGUG